CGUGUAGGCGGCCUUUUAAGUCAGACGUGAAAUCCAUGGGCUUAACCCAUGAAUUGCGUUUGAAACUGGAGGGCUUGAGGAUCGGAGAGGGCAGUGGAAUUCCCAGUGUAGCGGUGAAAUGCGUAGAUAUUGGGAGGAACACCAGUGGCGAAGGCGACUGCCUGGACGAAACCUGACGCUGAGGCGCGAAAGCUAGGGGAGCAAACGGGAUUAGAUACCCCGGUAGUCCUAGCCGUAAACGAUGGGUACUAGGUGUGGGAGGUAUCGACCCCUUCCGUGCCGCAGUUAACACAAUAAGUACCCCGCCUGGGGAGUACGGCCGCAAGGUUGAA
rnacentral:rRNA from 1 species